GCAAGUCGAGCGCACCUUCGGGUGAGCGGCGGACGGGUGAGUAACGCGUGGGAAUAUACCCUUCUCUACGGAAUAGCCUCGGGAAACUGAGAGUAAUACCGUAUACGCCCUUUGGGGGAAAGAUUUAUCGGGGAAGGAUUAGCCCGCGUUGGAUUAGGUAGUUGGUGAGGUAACGGCUCACCAAGCCUACGAUCUAUAGCUGGUUUGAGAGGAUGAUC
rnacentral:rRNA from 1 species